rnacentral:lncRNA from 1 species
AGGAUUUACAUAAUUUAAAUUUUAAAUAAUAUAAAAUAUUGAAGUUUAAAAUUUAAAUUUAAAUUUAAAAAUUAAAAAUUUUAAACUUAAAUUUAAAAUUUUAAAUGAUAACAACGGAAAUAUAGAAAUAUAUUUUUAUAUACUUUUAUCUAAAUUUUAGUAAAUAAUAAUGAACAGUCUAUUUAAAAUAUUUUAAAAAUUACAUAAAUUUAUCGCCGCGAAGCGUGGGCCUGCACAAGUGUAAAAAAUAGAAUGGUUCCGUAUAAGAGAGGUUAAUACUACAGACGUGGAAUAGGAUUUUGAAAGAAGAAAAGGGGGAGAGAGGAAGAAAGGAAUAGGUGGUAAAUUUGUUUUCAAAACAUUUUUUAAAAUUUUUGCAAAUGGAAAAUUCCUUUCUUUCACUCACGCGUUUUUACUCUCACCAUCUCUCCACUCGAUCUCUCACGCUUUUUUCCUCCCCCCAUCUACUCUCUCUCUCUCUCUCUCUCUCUCUCUCUCUCGCAGGGAGACGACGAGGACUAGGAGGUGAGGUCGCAGACCGCGAGCUCUCCCGCAGGGAAGACAACUAGGACUAGGUGAGGCGGUGGUCCGAAUUAAGUAGCUUAAGCAAUUUAGAAUUUUAAUUCAAUGUUAUCUUUUUGAUUUAAAACUGAUGUCAUAAUUUACCAUCAUAAUCCUCUAAAGUAUUCUUUUCGGCAGAAAAUGUAUGGAGACCUAAUUCUGACCUUCAUGCUAUUCUAAAUAUUUUUAUUUUCCACCUUUUCAGAUUUUAAACGAGGUAUAAAUAUGAUGAAAUUACGUUGUAUUAUUCAUAACCUGCUAAUUAAGUUAUAUUAGACAACUUUAAGCAUUUUAGAAUUUUAAUUCUGAACUGGUGUUAUUUUUUUAUGUCACGCCCCGGGGCCGAUUUUAAAAGCUUUUUAAAAACAGAGUUGCGGAAAACGUGCCAUUGUUUUUUUUUUUUUUUUUUUAUAUGCGAUAAAUAAAAUAAUAGUAAAAGAGUAUUUAGGAGUAUCAGAGCAUACAACAACUAGGUUCUAGCAUAGUGAGGUAAAUAANGUUACAUUUGGUAUCAGAGCUGGUUCACCAGCUGGACAUGUGUGGCGAGUCUCGGCUGAGCCAGAGUCUGGAUGACGGGAUAGCGAGACGAGUCUCACAUCGCUGGUGGUGAUCUUGGGCUGUGUGUGUGAUUGGACUGACGAGGACGUCAGGGCCUUAACGGGGGGAGUCUGUGACACCCCAAUAGUCCCACAUCGGAUGGGAAUGGGGUUGUCAUUCAGUUUAUAAGAGACUUAGACACUAGUAAUAAUUACUGGACUUAAGCAUUUUGGACCGGUUGUUGGGCCCAACGAGUUAUUGUUGCUAGUGGGUUGGGUCGUUACAACUCACCAUCCCAACACAAGUGUAACAGUAAAUUAGACUAUCUGGAGUACUCACCAUAAGAACACUGCAACUGUAUAAAAGUACAACGGCCCCUAAGGCUAAAUUAGGUCGUUUAACAUAUGACAGGUUCCAAGCACUGGUUUCUUCCUAUGUUUUAUCUAAGUCCAACAUGUAUGAUUAAUAACAGCUACUAACAUGCUCCCAAUUCAGUUAAUAUGUCUAAAACAUACCUACUCCUGAAUUUGAGCUAAACAAUAACAACUUGUAAUAUUAACGAUAUAUGUCGACCAACAAUACUAUAGGAGUAGGAUUCCGAUAAUAAACCCACCUCAAAAAGCUUGUCCAACCACGGCGAGAAGUCGAGAGGAGAGAAAAUCACGCGCUCACCCGGCCUCCAACGACGCAAUCGCGACGCACGCACACUCAAACGGCUCUCCGAAUCGACGUCGAAAAUUCCUGAACUCGAGCCCCGGCUUCUACCAAGCUACGAUUAAAAUUAGAGAAAAAGGGAAGUACGAGAUAAUUAAUCUCUCAGGUGGAUACUAUAUAGAGGGGGGGGUAGGUAGGUGGAUAACUACUAAUCAAAAUUACCUCCCUACCCCUCACUAACUCAAGCUAAGGGUAUUACAAGGCUACUAUAUUUUCUAUGGUACCGGAACUCUGGUACUAUAGUGUUGUUUUCAAUCUUAGGGCGUUCAAAUCAACGAUCCACGCCGUUAAAUAUGAUCUAGGGUAUAUGAAAUUCUUAGGAAUAAAAUUUUAGUUUUUUUCGAUAUCGUUUACUUAGUAAAUAAAUUAUGUCAAAAUAGACGGUGGAAAUUGAAUAUUUUUUAAAAUUUGAGUAUAGGACUUUUAAAUUCAAGAUCAAGAAUGUUAACCUUAAUUUAUAUAGUUUAAAGUAUUUCAAUCAAAAUUUGAAGCAAUUUAGAUUCUUCUACACCAUUAAACUCCAAACUCGUCAUAAUAGCCAUUGAAAAUUGAGAAUUUUGAAAUAGUUUGAUCAUAAAGUAAACUAUGUCGAAAAAAUAUAAAAUUUUAUUUCUAAAAAAACUUUAAAUACCCUAGAUCAGUUUUAACGGUGUGGAUCGUUGAUUUGAACGCCCGAAGAUCAAAAACAACACUAUAGUACCGGAGUUCCGGUACUAUAGAUAGUAUAGUAGCCUAGCUCUAUAUAUAUAUAUAUAUAUAUAUAUAUAUAAUCUCAAAGAGGAGAGAAGCGCUCCACUGCUGAGCCCCGCCUUUUUUUGCACGUGCAGGUUUUUUUUUUUUUAUCCGGCCUCGCUCCAGCGCCAGCUCGCGCCUGCCGAGCCGGCCCGCCCAGCCAGCUUCGUGCCUACCCCCGCGGCCGAGCGCGCCUCGCCCCCAGCUCGGCCGCUAAGCAUCGAGCCGGAGCGCGUCCACGCUGCGCCCGCGCUCACCCGCCUCGCUCCCGCGCCGACGUGCGACGCAGGAAAUUCAGGUUCCCAACUUCAUAGUUAUAAAUGUUAUAUGAUGACAACUUAGUGCCUUCAGUUUGUUUUGCAAUAUAUCAUGUUCUUUUGUUGAUGCUCGACCAUUUGCUUAUCUAAGGGGCCAAUGCCUAGUCUUACCUUACUCGCAUUGAAAUUUUGAUGGUAAAAAUUUAAAUCAAGAGGCACACUUUUAAGAUGAAAUUGUGAAAUUUUAAGUCAAGAUUAGGCUUCAUGGAUUGGAUGAAAACUUACAAAGCUGAUAUUAGAAUAAGGAUUAUACCUCAGAUUUACAUUAGAUGAGAUUAGGAUGAAGAGUAAUGCCUAGGAUUUACAUAAUUAAAUUUUAAAUAAUAUAGAAAUAUUGAAGUUUAAAUUUAAUUUAAAUUUAAAAAUUAAAAAAUUUAAAACUUAAAUUUAAAAUUUUUAAAUGAUAACAACGGAAAUAUAGAAAUAUAUUUUUAUAUACUUUUAUCUAAAUUUGAGUAAAUAAUAAUGAACAGUCUAUUUAAAAUAUUUUAAAAAUACAUAAAUUUAUUCGCCGGCGAAGCGUGGGCCUGCCAAGUGUAAAAAAUAGAAUGGUUCCGUAUAAGAGAGGUUAAUACUACAGACGUGGAAUAGGAUUUUGAAAGAAGAAA